GUGUUCGGAUUGCGGCGACGUGAGCGGUUCGCCGCCCGCGACGUCGCAAGAAGUCCACUGAACCUUAUCAUUUAGAGGAAGGAGAAGUCGUAACAAGGUUUCCGUAGGUGAACCUGCGGAAGGAUCAUUGUCGAAUCCUGCGAGCCACCGCGAACACGUUUCAUAAAACACCCGGGGUGCCGGGCCUGCCCGGCCCCCGGAACCAACUUAAACUUCCGGCGCGGAAAGCGCCAAGGACUACUGAAAACGGACCGCCCGCGUCCCCCCUCGGCUUCCGCGGGGCGGACGCGGUUCGUCUGGAAACGUAACCAACACGACUCUCGGCAACGGAUAUCUAGGCUCUCGCAUCGAUGAAGAACGUAGCGAAAUGCGAUACUUGGUGUGAAUUGCAGAAUCCCGUGAACCAUCGAGUUUUUGAACGCAAGUUGCGCCCGAAGCCAUUAGGCCAAGGGCACGUUUGCCUGGGCGUCACGCAUCGUCGCCACCCCCCCUCGCACGACCCUGGGAGGGUGACGGAACAUGGCCUCCCGUGUCCCCCGGGCGCGGCCGGCCCAAAUAAGAGUCCCCGGCACGGGACGUCGCGGCAAGUGGUGGUUGAAACCCUCAACUCGAUCGAAGCCGAGGCGCGGACCGACGCCGGGGCCCGAGACCCCGGAGCCCCUAGGGCCCCUCGACCAUGACCC
rnacentral:misc_RNA from 1 species